ensembl:processed_transcript
GCCGAAAACAAAUUCCAGAUGGCAAAGCUCCUUGUUGGGACCUCAACGCAACUGACCUUCCUAGAAUCAUCGUCACCUCUGAAGAGACUUGCCACGGUCUGCACAGAUCCAGCACUGGGGAAUGAGGAAUUUGACAUUGUAAUUUUUUUUUCCUUUCNUGCCUUGAAAGAGAGACACUUCCCACCAGCUUGUACUACCCACACACACCCUCCCAGAUGAAGGCAGGAGGAUAAGGAGUUCAACCUUUGUUAUGCAUUUAGUUGGAGGCCAGCCUGGGGUCUUGUGGGGCCCUGUAUCAAAAAGGUGAGGUGAGAAUUCUUCUCUCAAAAGCAGAGUAUAACUCUCAGCCUGUGUGUUGAUCCUGUCCCAGCCUUUUAAACUAAAUGAGUUAUAUAACUACUAUACAAACCCCACUCUACCCCAGCUGUUCUCUAAGGAAUAGUCUACCUAAAGAACUGUGCGCCUUGAAGCCAAAAAACAAAACAAACAAACAAACAAACCUCACAGUGCCCUCACUUGCAAAAUGUGCUUG